UACGUAGGUGGCAAGCGUUAUCCGGAUUUACUGGGUGUAAAGGGCGUGUAGGCGGGGACGCAAGUCAGAUGUGAAAAUCACGGGCUCAACCUGUGGCCUGCAUUUGAAACUGUGUUUCUUGAGUACUGGAGAGGCAGACGGAAUUCCUAGUGUAGCGGUGAAAUGCGUAGAUAUUAGGAGGAACACCAGUGGCGAAGGCGGUCUGCUGGACAGCAACUGACGCUGAGGCGCGAAAGCGUGGGGAGCAAACAGG
rnacentral:rRNA from 1 species